UCUGGUGGCUUUAGUCGCAGAGGUGUGCUUGUCAGUUCGUGUGUUCGAGUCCUGUGGUGCCAAGUUUUUCCCUCACAUAAAUUUAAUUUCUGGUGUGGCCUACUUAGUUGGUCCCACUUGUCUGUCGUGACCCAGCAGACGCAGUGUGGCCCACAUGAUAAGUAAGGCCCACAUGUCAGUCUGUGGGCCCCAUGGGUGCAUGGACGCAGUCUGUCCUACGUGUCAGUCAGGGCCCACUGGGUAGGCAGGCCCGUGUGUCAGUUUGUGGGCCCCACGAGUGAUUGGGUCCCACAUGGAAGAUAUAUGACUUAGUCCCAAUGGGUCCCACAUGUCAUUGGAACGCCAGUCUGGACACAUAAGCAUGGAAGGCUGUCCAUGCAUCAUGCUUACGAAGUUAUGACCAUCUAAAUUGGUCACCGUCAAUUUGAAAAAACAUCGUAAACCGUGACCAUUUGGUACGGAAUGGUCAUAGAUCUAUGACCACUUCAGCAACCGUCACAAAAAAAGUCAUAAAUCAACACAUUUCUUGUAGUGUGUGUAGGUCUGUAAUGAAGAGAACUUCUGGCCAAUGUGCCUUUUUUGCGUCCAUGGUUUGGAUGUUUCAUUCUGUUAGCUGUCGACAGUUUUUUGUUCCAUGACAAAAUAACCGAGCCAGUUAUGACGAAUGAUAACUUGAACUAAAUUUUGUCAUGGUUAAACUUUGUUAGCUAUUUUGAUUUUGGAUACUUAAUUACUAGCAAUGAUGAAAAUAUAAUGGUGUCAAGGUUCUAAAUAUACAAAGACACGUGGUGUCAAGAAAUUUUUACUAAAUAAAUAUGCCAAUGUGGCACUACAUCUUCACGAGACUGCUUACCAUUACUCUUUGGUAUGAACUUGGAGGUUGAUGUGUUUAUUGAAAUCUUUGUCUUAAGCUUCUGAUUGUUUACCAUUGCCUUAAGCUUCUGAUUGUUAAUCAUUACACUCUAGACAUAGGCUUGGCAUGGUGUUUUAAAUAUAGGCUUGGCAAGGUUGAAUUGACUUGGCAUAUAAAUUCAAUGAAAAUAAAUAUUAUGCUUUUAUAAAGUGCUUUGUUUAAUGUAAUGUGCUGCAACUUUUUUGUAUUCAAGUAUUGAUGUAGUUGACAGGGGGAGACCAUGUCUUGCAAUAAAUCGUAAAAAUACUUGAUUUUUAGUCACGUGUAGAUUACAUCAUGCUUAUAUACAUGUCGAGUACAACUACUUUUUACAUGACUUGGAUGCACAAUUAUCAUGUUCAUGAUGUUUCCUAAUGCUCAUUACAAAAACAACAAAAAAUCAAAUAUGACAAAAUAAACAAAAAAAAUCCCUUCUAGUUUAAAGAAAAAAAAUUAGUGGGGACAUAUUUUUGUGUGGUUUUGAUGAAAUUCAUUGUAAAAGGGGAAGAGAUUUCAACACAUAUACAUACCAUAUUUUACCUUUAUUGGUGUUUCUCCAACUUUUUAAGGUUUUUCAUUUUCUUUUCAAAACCUUGAAAAUCUGAGAGUUAGGUGAAUGUGUAUGCCAAUCAAUGUUCAAUGUCUAGUGUUGUUAAGGAGAUGUUGCCAAUGUUUUCAUCAAGGAGGAGAUUGUGAAAUCAUAGGUGAUGUGUAACAUUGCCAAGUGUUUUAGAUGAAACAUUGAUGUGGAUACUUUUGGUAAUAUGGAUACUUAUGUGAUGAGAUGUAUCUUGUUUGGACUUAGUGCUUUGCUAGCGG
rnacentral:lncRNA from 1 species